rnacentral:tRNA from 1 species
GGGCCAGUAGUUCAGUGGAUAGAAUAGCUGCUUGCGGAGCAGUUGGUCGCAGGUUCGAAUCCUGUCUGGCCCGCCA